GGGCCCGCACAAGCGGUGGAGCAUGUGGUUUAAUUCGAUGCAACGCGAAGAACCUUACCUACUCUUGACAUCCAGAGAACUUUCCAGAGAUGGAUUGGUGCCUUCGGGAACUCUGAGACAGGUGCUGCAUGGCUGUCGUCAGCUCGUGUUGUGAAAUGUUGGGUUAAGUCCCGCAACGAGCGCAACCCUUAUCCUUGUUUGCCAGCGAGUAAUGUCGGGAACUCCAGGGAGACUGCCGGUGAUAAACCGGAGGAAGGUGGGGACGACGUCAAGUCAUCAUGGCCCUUACGAGUAGGGCUACACACGUGCUACAAUGGCGCAUACAGAGGGCGGCCAACUUGCGAGAGUGAGCGAAUCCCAAAACCUAUCUCAGUUCGGAUCGGAGUCUGCAACUCGACUCCGUGAAGUUGGAAUCGCUAGUAAUCGCGGAU
rnacentral:rRNA from 1 species